rnacentral:rRNA from 1 species
AGUGAACGCUGGCGGUAGGCCUAACACAUGCAAGUCGAACGGCAGCACAGUAAGAGCUUGCUCUUACGGGUGGCGAGUGGCGGACGGGUGAGGAAUACAUCGGAAUCUACUUUUUCGUGGGGGAUAACGUAGGGAAACUUACGCUAAUACCGCAUACGACCUACGGGUGAAAGCAGGGGAUCUUCGGACCUUGCGCGAUUGAAUUAGCCGAUGUCGGAUUAGCUAGUUGGCGGGGUAAAGGCCCACCAAGGCGACGAUCCGUAGCUGGUCUGAGAGGAUGAUCAGCCACACUGGAACUGAGACACGGUCCAGACUCCUACGGGAGGCAGCAGUGGGGAAUAUUGGACAAUGGGCGCAAGCCUGAUCCAGCCAUACCGCGUGGGUGAAGAAGGCCUUCGGGUUGUAAAGCCCUGUUGUUGGGAAAGAAAAGCAGCAGGUUAAUACCCCGCUGUUCUGACGGUACCCAAAGAAUAAGCACCGGCUAACUUCGUG